rnacentral:rRNA from 1 species
AACGAACGCUGGCGGCAUGCCUAACACAUGCAAGUCGAACGAACUCUUCGGAGUUAGUGGCGCACGGGUGCGUAACGCGUGGGAAUCUGCCCUUGGGUACGGAAUAACUCAGAGAAAUUUGUGCUAAUACCGUAUAAUGACUUCGGUCCAAAGAUUUAUCGCCCAAGGAUGAGCCCGCGUAAGAUUAGCUAGUUGGUGGGGUAAAAGCCUACCAAGGCGACGAUCUUUAGCUGGUCUGAGAGGAUGAUCAGCCACACUGGGACUGAGACACGGCCCAGACUCCUACGGGAGGCAGCAGUGGGGAAUAUUGGACAAUGGGCGAAAGCCUGAUCCAGCAAUGCCGCGUGAGUGAUGAAGGCCCUAGGGUUGUAAAGCUCUUUUACCCGGGAUGAUAAUGACAGUACCUGGAGAAUAAGCUCCGGCUAACUCCGUGCCAGCAGCCGCGGUAAU